GAUGAAGAACGUAGCGAAAUGCGAUACUUGGUGUGAAUUGCAGAAUCCCGUGAACCAUCGAGUCUUUGAACGCAAGUUGCGCCUCAAGCCAUUAGGUUGAGGGCACGUCUGCCUGGGCGUCACAUAUCGUUGCCUGAUGCCAGUUUCCUCGUGAUGGGUGACUGUGCAGGGCGAAUGAUGGCUUCCCGUGAGCAUUGUUGCCUCAUGGUUGGUUGAAAAUUGAGUCCUUGGUAGGGAGCGCCGUGAUAGAUGGUGGUUGAGUGACGAACGAGACCCAAUCAUGUGAGACCCCUACCGAAUUUGGCCUUCAUGACCCACAUGCGUCUUUGGAACGCUCAUGACGAGACCUCAGGUCAGGCGGGGCUACCCGCUGAGUUUAAGUAUAUCAAUAAGCGAGGA
rnacentral:misc_RNA from 1 species